AGCGAACGCUGGCGGCAGGCCUAACACAUGCAAGUCGAGCGCCCCGCAAGGGGAGCGGCAGACGGGAGAGUAACACGUGGGAACGUACCCUUCAGUUCGGAACAACCCAGGGAAACUUGGGCUAAUACCGAAUACGUCCGUAAGGAGAAAGAUUUAUCGCUGAAGGAUCGGCCCGCGUCUGAUCAGCUAGUUGGUGGGGUAACGGCCCACCAAGGCGACGAUCAGUAGCUGGUCUGAGAGGAUGAUCAGCCUCACUGGGACUGAGACACGGCCCAGACUCCUACGGGAGGCAGCAGUGGGGAAUAUUGGACAAUGGGCGCAAGCCUGAUCCAGCCAUGCCGCGUGGGUGAUGAAGGCCCUAGGGUUGUAAAGCCCUUUCGGCGGGGAAGAUAAUGACGGUACCCGCAGAAGAAGCCCCGGCUAACUUCGUGCCAGCCGCCGCGGUAACAC
rnacentral:rRNA from 1 species